rnacentral:misc_RNA from 1 species
GUGGAUUAAUAAUCGUUGAUUAAUGCACGGACGGCACAACCAUGAGAGGAACUUUCUUACGAAUGACCAGAUAGAAGACCUCGCUCAUGUCCAGGUCCUCGUGUUUUUGUCCAUCAGGCAACUUCCAAUCGAACAAGAAGAGGAGAUUAGCCAACACAUAUUCAACUUCUUUAAGCGCAUAGGAUAUUCCAGGGCAAAGCCUUCUCCCAGAACCAAACGGAAUGUACUCUUUGUGUUGUCCCUUGAAAUCUGCUGGAUUGUCAAUAAACCUCUCAGGGAUAAAAUCAUCAGGCUUUUCCCAUAAUCCUGGAUCCCUUUGAAUUCCCCAUGCGUUGAUCAACACUCUUGUAUUGGGUGGAAUAUCAUACCCUUCCAGCUUUGUGGUCGCAGUUGUUUGUCUUGGAAUCAUUCCCGAAACAUGAUGCCUUAGUGUCUCUUUCACUAUGCAUUUUAGGUAGGUCAUCUGAUCAAGAUCGGAUUCUUCUACUUUCGAUUUGUUUCCUACCACUCUUCUUACCUCUUCUUGGGCUUUCUUCAUUAUGCGUGGGUUUUUCAUCAGCUCUGCCAUCGUCCAAUCCAUGGUUGUUGCAGUAGUAUCAGUUCCCCCAAUAAACAUGUCCAUUAGGACAGCUUUCAUGCUUUCACGAGUG